AUGUUUUCGUCGCAGUCCUUGAGCGGCGUCAACAACAUCCACACCGCCCUCAUCAAUGCCCAGAAGGGUAAUCAAUCUGUCGCCGCCUACUUCGCCUCCAUGCGUGGCCUCGCCUAUGAGCUUGCCUCGGUCGGCAAAGCCAUCCAGGAUGAUGAGCUGAUCUCCUACAUCAUCCAUGGGCUAGACAUGGACUACCAGCCCCUUGUCUCGUCCCUCGAUGCCCGCGUCACGCUCGUCUCCCUCAAUGAGCUCUUUGCCAUGCUCAGCAACUUCGAUCAGCGCGUGGCCCAGUUCCAGAACUUCGGUGGCGGCUUCAAGUCCUCUGCAAACGCGGCCAUGCGUGGACGUAGUGGCUCUCCCCACACCACCGCGGUCCUCCUCGUCCAAGGCCCUCGCUCUGGGCGCCCCAACUCCACCAACACCAAGGGACGCCGUGGUGGCUAUGGCAAGUCCCUCCCCGAUGUUGUCCGUUGUCAGAUCCGCGGCAAGCCUGGCCACAUGGCCAAGGACUGCUGGUACAGGUUCGAUGAGUAUGAUGCAUCUUCUGAAGAGGAUGACAAGGUGGUCGUAGCCGCGAAGGGAGCAUAUGGCGUGGGUACCAACUGGUAUCUCGACAGCGGCGCCACCAAUCAUCUCACGGGCGAGCUGGAGAAAGUGACUCUCUGCGAGAAGUAUCAUGGGAAGUAUCAGAUCCACACCACCAGCGGUGCAGGUAUGAGGAUCCGUCACAUAGGUCAUUCAGUUUUUCGUACCCCUUCCCGUAAGAUCCAUCUUCGUAAAAUUUUGCAUGUUCCUAGUGCCAACAAAAACCUUCUGUCCGUUCAUCGCAUCACCAUUGAUAAAAUGUUUUCAUUGAGUUUCAUCCCUUUUUCUUCUUGA
rnacentral:rRNA from 1 species